AUGGGCAAAGCCAGGCUGUCACAAGCAAGACUUGUGAAAGGCCAUGAAUUUCACAACCUCUACUGCGGUCAGGUUAUAGAGCCAGCCUGCAGGAGAUCUCAUGAAGAUCCAUCCAGAUGCUGUGUGUAUACAAACGCACCUGGAGCCAUCUCCCAUCCUCCAAGGCACACACCAGAUUUGCAGGAGAGCGCAAGCCGGUGGUGGAGACCUACUGCUGGUGGAUCCAAUGCACCUAUGCUAAGGAUGGAAGCCUAG
rnacentral:lncRNA from 1 species